rnacentral:rRNA from 1 species
CUUGAACGCUGGCGGCAGGCCUAACACAUGCAAGUCGAACGAGUGGCGGACGGGUGAGUAAUGUCUGGGAAACUGCCUGAUGGAGGGGGAUAACUACUGGAAACGGUAGCUAAUACCGCAUACCAUCGGAUGUGCCCAGAUGGGAUUAGCUAGUAGGUGGGGUAAAGGCUCACCUAGGCGACGAUCCCGAGCUGGUCUGAGAGGAUGACCAGCCAAACUGAAACUGAGACACGGUCCAGACUCCUAUGGGAGGCAGCAGUGGGGAAUAUUGCACAAUGGGAGCAAGCCUGAUGCAGCAAUGCCGCGUGUAUGAAGAGGGCCUUCGGGUUUUAAAGUACUUGCAGCGUGGAGGCGGUACCCGCAGAAGAAGCACCGGCUAACUCCGUGCCAGCAGCCGCGGUAAUAC